rnacentral:rRNA from 1 species
CCUACGGGCGGCAGCAGUGGGGAAUAUUGCACAAUGGGGGAAACCCUGAUGCAGCGACGCCGCGUGAGUGAAUAAGUAUUUCGGUAUGUAAAGCUCUAUCAGCAGGGAAGAAAUAGCGACCUUUGGGUCGCCAGACGGUACCUGAUUAAGAAGCCCCGGCUAACUACGUGCCAGCAGCCGCGGUAAUACGUAGGGGGCAAGCGUUAUCCGGAUUUACUGGGUGUAAAGGGAGCGUAGACGGCAUCGCAAGUCUGAAGUGAAAUGCCGGGGCUUAACCCCGGAACUGCUUAGGAAACUGUGCAGCUAGAGUGCAGGAGAGGUAAGUGGAAUUCCUGGUGUAGCGGUGAAAUGCGUAGAUAUUAGGAGGAACACCAGUGGCGAAGGCGGAUUACUGGACUGUAACUGACGUUGAGGCUCGAAAGCGUGGGGAGCAAACAGGAUUAGAUACCCCUGUAGUC